GUGGGGAAUAUUGGACAAUGGGCGAAAGCCUGAUCCAGCCAUGCCGCGUGUGUGAAGAAGGUCUUCGGAUUGUAAAGCACUUUAAGUUGGGAGGAAGGGCAGUAAGUUAAUACCUUGCUGUUUUGACGUUACCGACAGAAUAAGCACCGGCUAACUUCGUGCCAGCAGCCGCGGUAAUACGAAGGGUGCAAGCGUUAAUCGGAAUUACUGGGCGUAAAGCGCGUGUAGGUGGUUUUGUAAGUUGGAGGUGAAAUCCCCGGGCUGAACCUGGGAACUGCCUCCAAAACUGCAUGACUGGAGGACGGUAGAGGGUAGUGGAAUUUCCUGGGUAGCGGUGAAAUGCGUAGAUAUAGGAAGGAACACCAGUGGCGAAGGCGACUACCUGGACUGAUACUGACACUGGGGUGCGAAAGCGUGGGGAGCAAACAGGAUUAGAAACCCUGGUAGUCC
rnacentral:rRNA from 1 species